GCCCCUAUAGCUCAGCCGGUAGAGCAACUGAUUUGUAAUCAGUAGGUCCGCGGUUCGAGUCCGUGUGGGGGCACCA
rnacentral:tRNA from 1 species